GACGAAGGUGGCAAGCGUUAUUCGGAUUUACUGGGCAUAAAGCGCGCGUAGGCGGCCCUGUAAGUCCGUUGUGAAAGUCAAAGGCUCAACCUUUGAAAGCCGAUGGAUACUGCAGGGCUAGAGUACGGAGGAGGCGAGUGGAAUUCCUGGUGUAGCGGUGGAAUGCGCAGAUAUCAGGAGGAACACCAAUAGCGAAGGCAGCUCGCUGGGACGUUACUGACGCUAAGGCGCGAAAGCGUGGGGAGCGAACAGG
rnacentral:rRNA from 1 species